AGAGUUUGAUCAUGGCUCAGGACGAACGCUGGCGGCGUGCCUAAUACAUGCAAGUCGAGCGAGCGGAACCAACAGAUUUACUUCGGUAAUGACGUUGGGAAAGCGAGCGGCGGAUGGGUGAGUAACACGUGGGGAACCUGCCCCUAAGUCUGGGAUACCAUUUGGAAGCAGGUGCUAAUACCGGAUAAUAAAGCAGAUCGCAUGAUCAGCUUUUGAAAGGCGGCGUAAGCUGUCGCUAAGGGAUGGCCCCGCGGUGCAUUAGCUAGUUGGUAAGGUAACGGCUUACCAAGGCGACGAUGCAUAGCCGAGUUGAGAGACUGAUCGGCCACAUUGGGACUGAGACACGGCCCAAACUCCUACGGGAGGCAGCAGUAGGGAAUCUUCCACAAUGGACGCAAGUYUGAUGGAGCAACGCCGCGUGAGUGAAGAAGGUUUUCGGAUCGUAAAGCUCUGUUGUUGGUGAAGAAGGAUAGAGGUAGUAACUGGCCUUUAUUUGACGGUAAUCAACCAGAAAGUCACGGCUAACUACGUGCCAGCAGCCGCGGUAAUACGUAGGUGGCAAGCGUUGUCCGGAUUUAUUGGGCGUAAAGCGAGCGCAGGCGGAAAAAUAAGUCUAAUGUGAAAGCCCUCGGCUUAACCGAGGAACUGCAUCGGAAACUGUUUUUCUUGAGUGCAGAAGAGGAGAGUGGAACUCCAUGUGUAGCGGUGGAAUGCGUAGAUAUAUGGAAGAACACCAGUGGCGAAGGCGGCUCUCUGGUCUGCAACUGACGCUGAGGCUCGAAAGCAUGGGUAGCGAACAGGAUUAGAUACCCUGGUAGUCCAUGCCGUAAACGAUGAGUGCUAAUGUGUUGGGAGGUUUCCGCCUCUCAGUGCUGCAGCU
rnacentral:rRNA from 1 species